GGGGACUCCCGGUUCUAACGGAAUUUGUUGUGGCUUCUUCUUCUUCUUCCUUUUUUCGGUCUCUUCUCUCUUUCAGUUCAUUCGGGGGCCUGUUUUUGGAAUAAGAAAAAGGCAUUGCUGUUUUCUGACUUUGAGUGAAGAAAGAAGGGACUCCUCUGGAAUUUCCUAAGGAAUUUAUUCGGACAGCCCAUGUUGCGAGGGCUUUGCAUUCUUCCGCCUGGGUAUAGAAUGUGACCAACCAUUCCACACUAGGGAAAUUCGGAGGAGUUCUGUUCUUUCGUCGCUCUGGUCCGAGGCAGCAAUCGCAGCUGAUUAUUCCAAACGGGUGGGGGCAAAGGGGGCAUUAAUUUCACUGGUGUGUCGGUGAGGUAAAACCGCAGCAUCGGGCAGCAUGUUGGCACCUGCGUGAUCCCACCAAAG
ensembl:lncRNA